GGACACAUCCUUCUACACUGUAUGCAAACAUGCAACAUCAUUACACACAGUACAAGGAGUCAGACUGGCAUAUGAGGAGCAAAGGAACCCAGGCAGUAGCAUCGUUUCACAAUGUUUCCAUCAUCAUCAUCAGUGGAUGCCUUUGCCGUCCGUAGCCUGAGAUUUCAGAUUUGCAGCAAAAAAAAAAUGAUUUUCUCAUUUAUUGGAAUGCUGUGCAGGUAUUUGUACCUUGCAGCCAUCCAUUACAAUGUCACCAAGCCGUAACAAAAGCAGGAGAGGGAAAGUACAAGGCUAUGUUCCCAAAACACAAAUGACAUACCUUAUGUGGAGGAUGUGAUCAGGCUUGUGUUUGAUGAGGUAUUUGAAGAUAAGCUGAAGGAAACCCCGAUUCCAAUGGACCUGGCAUCACAGUUUGAGAGACCUUCAAAGGAGGACGUGAUUGCAUGCCAUCUUCAGUGCAGGGGUCGUCGAAAGCCAAAAUUGUGACCGAUCUGAUCAGGAAGCUCCAAGCGUAUCUGGAGAACAACACACGACAGGAUGAUAACCCUAAAGUGUCAUCUUAGAUAGCACCAGCUGACAAAGCUUUGAUAUGCCAUUUAUCUGAAUAGAUAUCUGUAAGAAAUGAAUUGAACAAUUUUUGAAAC